rnacentral:rRNA from 1 species
GACGAACGCUGGCGGCGUGCUUAACACAUGCAAGUCGAACGGUGACCCUCGGAGCUUGCUUCGGGGUGAACAGUGGCGAACGGGUGAGUAACACGUGAGUAACCUGCCCCUGACUCUGGAAUAAGCGCUGGAAACGGCGUCUAAUACCGGAUACGACACGCCUCCGCAUGGGGAGCGUGUGGAAAGUUUUUCGGUCUGGGAUGGACUCGCGGCCUAUCAGCUUGUUGGUGAGGUAAUGGCUCACCAAGGCGAUGACGGGUAGCCGGCCUGAGAGGGCGACCGGCCACACUGGGACUGAGACACGGCCCAGACUCCUACGGGAGGCAGCAGUGGGGAAUAUUGCACAAUGGGCGAAAGCCUGAUGCAGCGACGCCGCGUGAGGGAUGACGGCCUUCGGGUUGUAAACCUCUUUCAGCAGGGAAGAAGCGAAAGUGACGGUACCUGCAGAAGAAGCACCGGCUAACUACGUGCCAGCCGCCGCCGUAACAC